AUUGAACGCUGGCGGCAGGCCUAACACAUGCAAGUCGAACGAGUGGCGGACGGGUGAGUAAUGUAUGUGAAACUGCGUGAUGGAGGGGGAUAACUACUGGAAACGGUAGCUAAUACCGCAUACCUUCAGCUGUGUCCAGAUGGGUUUAGCUUGUUGGUGGGGUAAAGGCUAACCAAGGCGACGCACCCUAGCUGGUCUGAGAGGAUGACCAGCCAAACUGGAACUGAGACACGGUCCAGACUCCGACGGGAGGCAGCAGGGGGGAAGAUGGGACAAUGGGCGAAAGCCUGAUGCAGCCAUGCGGCGUGUAUGAAGAAGGCCUGCGGGUUGUAAAGUACUUUAAGCGGGGAGGCGUUACCAGCAGAAGAAGCACCGGCUAACUCCGUGCCAGCGGCCGCGGUAAUAC
rnacentral:rRNA from 1 species